GUACACUCCUACGGGAGGCAGCAGUGGGGAAUAUUGCACAAUGGGCGCAAGCCUGAUGCAGCCAUGCCGCGUGUAUGAAGAAGGCCUUCGGGUUGUAAAGUACUUUCAGCGGGGAGGAAGGCGAUAAGGUUAAUAACCUUGUUGAUUGACGUUACCCGCAGAAGAAGCACCGGCUAACUCCGUGCCAGCAGCCGCGGUAAUACGGAGGGUGCAAGCGUUAAUCGGAAUUACUGGGCGUAAAGCGCACGCAGGCGGUCUGUCAAGUCGGAUGUGUAAUCCCCGGGCUCAACCUGGGAACUGCAUUCGAAACUGGCAGGCUAGAGUCUUGUAGAGGGGGGUAGAAUUCCAGGUGUAGCGGUGAAAUGCGUAGAGAUCUGGAGGAAUACCGGUGGCGAAGGCGGCCCCCUGGACAAAGACUGACGCUCAGGUGCGAAAGCGUGGGGAGCAAACAGGAUUAGAUAUCCUGGUAGUCCC
rnacentral:rRNA from 1 species